rnacentral:lncRNA from 1 species
UCCUACGUUACAUGGAAACGGAAGCGGAAACGCGGAAGCGGAAUCGUAUGGAAGCGUAGAAACGAUUUUUUUCAAAAAACUAGGAAGCGGAUCCGUAUUGGAAGCGUAUAUAUAUAUAUAUAUACAUAUCAUAUAAACCCACAUAAAACAUUUAUUUUUUCCUUUUUUAUUUUUAUUUACGAUUCCAACUAUCAAACUUAAACGCUUCCAAAUAGGAUUCAUCGUUUCCAUCACGCUUCCAUAUCUGUUUUUUUUGGAAACACGAUUCCGGCACGCUUCCGAGCGAUUCCGCACGCUUCCGACUCCGUUUCCGCUUCGGAACCAGGAACCAGUACGUGAGACACGCUUCCAUGCAACGUAGGU